GAUGAACGCUAGCUACAGGCUUAACACAUGCAAGUCGAGGGGCAGCAUUUUAGUUUGCUUGCAAACUAAAGAUGGCGACCGGCGCACGGGUGAGUAACACGUAUCCAACCUGCCGAUAACUCGGGGAUAGCCUUUCGAAAGAAAGAUUAAUAUCCGAUGGUAUAUUAAAACCGCAUGGUUUUACUAUUAAAGAAUUUCGGUUAUCGAUGGGGAUGCGUUCCAUUAGUUUGUUGGCGGGGUAACGGCCCACCAAGACUACGAUGGAUAGGGGUUCUGAGAGGAAGGUCCCCCACAUUGGAACUGAGACACGGUCCAAACUCCUACGGGAGGCAGCAGUGAGGAAUAUUGGUCAAUGGACGAGAGUCUGAACCAGCCAAGUAGCGUGAAGGAUGACUGCCCUAUGGGUUGUAAACUUCUUUUAUAUGGGAAUAAAGUAUUCCACGUGUGGGAUUUUGUAUGUACCAUAUGAAUAAGGAUCGGCUAACUCCGUGCCAGCAGCCGCGGUAAUACGGAGGAUCCGAGCGUUAUCCGGAUUUAUUGGGUUUAAAGGGAGCGUAGGUGGAUUGUUAAGUCAGUUGUGAAAGUUUGCGGCUCAACCGUAAAAUUGCAGUUGAAACUGGCAGUCUUGAGUACAGUAGAGGUGGGCGGAAUUCGUGGUGUAGCGGUGAAAUGCUUAGAUAUCACGAAGAACUCCGAUUGCGAAGGCAGCUCACUAGACUGCAACUGACACUGAUGCUCGAAAGUGUGGGUAUCAAACAGGAUUAGAUACCCUGGUAGUCCACACAGUAAACGAUGAAUACUCGCUGUUUGCGAUAUACAGUAAGCGGCCAAGCGAAAGCAUUAAGUAUUCCACCUGGGGAGUACGCCGGCAACGGUGAAACUCAAAGGAAUUGACGGGGGCCCGCACAAGCGGAGGAACAUGUGGUUUAAUUCGAUGAUACGCGAGGAACCUUACCCGGGCUUAAAUUGCAUUUGAAUAAUCUGGAAACAGGUUAGCCGCAAGGCAAAUGUGAAGGUGCUGCAUGGUUGUCGUCAGCUCGUGCCGUGAGGUGUCGGCUUAAGUGCCACAACGAGCGCAACCCUUAUCUUUAGUUACUAACAGGUCAUGCUGAGGACUCUAGAGAGACUGCCGUCGUAAGAUGUGAGGAAGGUGGGGAUGACGUCAAAUCAGCACGGCCCUUACGUCCGGGGCUACACACGUGUUACAAUGGGGGGUACAGAAGGCAGCUACCUGGCGACAGGAUGCUAAUCCCAAAAACCUCUCUCAGUUCGGAUCGAAGUCUGCAACCCGACUUCGUGAAGCUGGAUUCGCUAGUAAUCGCGCAUCAGCCAUGGCGCGGUGAAUACGUUCCCGGGCCU
rnacentral:rRNA from 1 species